GGAUAUAACAUCAGGCAUUUCUUAAAUGUUAUCCUUGCUUUAGAGGUAAACAGAAGCCCAAAGAUAUUUGAAAACUUACCCAGCUAGUAUGGUAAAUGACGGACUCCAGUUCAAACCCACGUCUUAGAUUCAAGGCCUAUAAAAAUCUGUUUAGAACUUGUAUUUUCUUGUGGACUUAACAAAGAGGAGGAGAGCUAGGUUCCUAAGCCCAUUCAAGAAAGUCUAUUUGGUCUUUAAUGGAAAUGAGAUACUAAUGCCCCCAAAUAUUCCAACAAGGACUGAGAGAAAACAGAAAAAUGAAGUGGAUGUUGUUCAGAUGUUGACAUUGUGGAGCCCAGGGCCCUUUGCCAUGGCCACAAUUGGAGCCCCUGCAAGAAAACUACAAGGGCAGGAACUUUCCCUCACUACUGGCCCCAACCUGGAUCCCUGCAGAAACAGAAUCACCAAAGUCAAAGGAUUACUGGGCAGCAAAGGUGAAUGAAGCAAACGGCUAAUAUCUGACACCAUUUCCAAAGCAACUGCCUGGAUAAGCUUUUAAUAGAAUUUCCCAGGUUACAACUCUGAAGAUGUAGAAAGCAAGUUACCAUGGAAACAAAUCGUCUCUUUAAAGAGAGACAGGCUCCUCUCCUAGCUUGAGCUCUUUCCAGAGGGAGGAGGGGGGCGGGGGAAAAGAAAGGCCAAGGAUCUGCAACUAGAACAAUGAAGGAAGUUUUCUUCUCAUAAUUAAAAUUGUACCAAUGAAAUUUUUUUGGAGGGUCAGCUCAAGACUAUUUCAUUUUGGGGCUGUCCUAUUAAAAGAAACCUCGAGUCAGAUAUUUUGAGAUACGUAAGCAAAAUGACAUUUUACUGAUCAUUUCUGUAAAUUGUGUUCUUUGUUCAGUUAGUGACACAUGCUGGUAACAAGUGAAACCCUCCAGCACAUGACAUUGAAGGCAAAGAUGUCACUUCCCUUUGUCUUCUAUUCCCAACACACCACCUGUGAGAUGACAUUCUGUGGGCUAUUUUUCUCUGUCUCUGUCUAUAUUCUUUUAGUAUAUAAUUAAAAGAAUAUAGAUAAACAAAAUAAACCAAUUUUUAAAAAGGGCAAAGGACUUUAACAGCUAUAUCUCUAAAGAGAUGUACAAAUGACCAGCAGGCACAAGAAAAGAUGCUCAACAUCACUAAU